AACGAACGCUGGCGGCAGGCCUAACACAUGCAAGUCGAGCGCACCUUCGGGUGAGCGGCGGACGGGUUAGUAACACGUGGGAACGUACCCUUUUCUAAGGAAUAAUCAUUGGAAACGAUGACUAAUGCCUUAUACGCCCUUCGGGGGAAAGAUUUAUCGGAGAAGGAUCGGCCCGCGGUAGAUUAGAUAGUUGUGGGGUAAUGGCCUACCAAGUCUACGAUCUAUAGCUGGUUUUAGAGGAUGAUCAGCAACACUGGGACUGAGACACGGCCCAGACUCCUACGGGAGGCAGCAGUGGGGAAUCUUAGACAAUGGGCGCAAGCCUGAUCUAGCCAUGCCGCGUGAGUGAUGAAGGUCUUAGGAUCGUAAAGCUCUUUCGCCAGGGAUGAUAAUGACAGUACCUGGUAAAGAAACCCCGGCUAACUCCGUG
rnacentral:rRNA from 1 species